rnacentral:rRNA from 1 species
AACAAACGCUGGCGGCAGGCUUAACACAUGCAAGUCGAACGAGAUCUUCGGAUCUAGUGGCAGACGGGUGAGGAACACGUGGGAACAUCCCUUUCAGUUCGGAAUAACGUUGGGAAACUAACGCUAAUACCGGAUACGUCCUUCGGGAGAAAGAUUUAUCGCUGAAAGAUUGGCCCGCGUCUGAUUAGCUAGUUGGUGAGGUAACGGCUCACCAAGGCUACGAUCAGUAGCUGAUCUGAGAGGAUGAUCAGCCACAUUGGGACUGAGACACGGCCCAAACUCCUACGGGAGGCAGCAGUGGGGAAUAAUGGACAAUGGGCGCAAGCCUGAUCCAGCCAUGCCGCGUGAGUGAUGACGGCCUUCGGGUUGUAAAGCUCUUUUGUCCGGGAAGAUAAUGACUGUACCGGAAGAAUAAGCCCCGGCAAACUUCGUGCCAGCCGCCGCGGUAA